UUAUUUCCCUUCGCAUUAAUAUCUUUCCAUUUGAAAAGACAGAAUAGUAGUUAAAACUAGAACCUAAUCCAACAAAUUAAAUUGCUGGAAUGAUUGCAUGCAUGAAUUCAGUUAACUUUAAUUAAUUUAACGAACAUGUAAAAUUUGACAAAAUGUCCAUCCAUGACAUUAUAUUAUAUCUUGUUUUUUUCUGGAGGAUGACAAGAUACACUCUAGGUGUUGUGAUAUGAC
rnacentral:lncRNA from 1 species